CGUGGGUAACCUGCCUUAUAGUGGGGGAUAGCCUUUCGAAAGGAAGAUUAAUACCGCAUAAGAUUGUAGUAUCGCAUGAUAUAGCAUUAAAGGAGCAAUUCGCUAUAAGAUGGCCCGCGUCGCAUUAGCUAGUUGGUGAGGUAAUGGCUCACCAAGGCGACGAUGCGUAGCCGACCUGAGAGGGUGAUCGGCCACAUUGGGACUGAGACACGGCCCAGACUCCUACGGGAGGCAGCAUG
rnacentral:rRNA from 1 species